GUUUACUUAAAGAGCACCUAUUAUGAGAUACACGUUUUUAAACAUCCUUUUGUGUGUAAGUGUGUAUUAGUACAUGCUAACGAUAUUCAAAAAGUACAUACCUCAAAGAAAACGAUGACGCGAGUUAUCGUCUCUAACGUUCGAGGACUACAAAAAACACUCGGAUUGUAGGCAACAGUUUACUUCCUGGGAUUAGUGACGUAGAGAAGACCAACAUUAUCAUAGUUCAGCCCUCUCUGCUUCGCUUGGGUACGCCCUCAAAGACGGGGGUGGAGAGCGCUGAGUCAGAAGAGAGCUAAAAUGGCUCUUGUUUCAUCAUUUAAGCGAUUAAAUCUCUCGAGUAGACGCUGUCUCUUUAGAUGCAAGGGCAAAAUAGCACUUUAUGGACUUACACAGAGGACAUCAUGUUUAAUACGGUUCCAGAAAAAUCCAGUCAGAAGUUGUUCACGGAGUUUUCACAAUAACUGCUUCUUAUGAACCGAAGCUGGAUUUGCGCGACGUUUCCUCUUGAAAGUUGGAUUACCGUGCACUUCUGGAUCACAGGCUAUUCGCAGCUGGACACAUCCUUCUACACUGUAUGCAAACAUGCAACAUCAUUACACACAGUACAAGGCAUAUGAGGAGCAAAGGAACCCAGGCAGUAGCAUCAUUUCACAAUGUUUACAUCACCAUCAUCAGUGGAUGCCUUUGCCGUCCGUAGCCUGAGAUUUCAGAUUUGCAGCAAAAAAUGUGACUUUCCCAUUUAUUGGAAUGCUGUGCAGGUUAUACCUUACAGCCGUCCAUUACAAUGUCACCAAGCCGUAACAAAAGCAGGAGAGGGAAAGUACAAGGCUAUGUUCCCAAAACACACAAGUGACAUACUGUAAGCAGUAAUGUUUUAUUUCAAAUACAUUCAUAAUUAAAAACUUACUGUAUGAAGCAGGGAAAUAAAUGAUCAAAACAAAAGAUUUAUUGACUGCAAUAUUUGUACAGUUAUGUGGAUGAUGUGAUCAGGCUUGUGUUUGAUGAGGUAUUUGAAGAUAAGCUGAAGGAAACCCCGAUUCCAAUGGACCUGGCAUCACAGUUUGAGAGACUUCAAAGGAGGACGUGAUUGCAUGCAGUGGC